rnacentral:rRNA from 1 species
UUUGAUCAUGGCUCAGGAUGAACGCUGGCGGCGUGCCUAACACAUGCAAGUCGAGCGGACCAAUGCCCAUUUCAGCUUUGCUGAUUUGAGCAACGGUUAGCGGCGGACGGGUGAGUAACGCGUGGAUAACCUGCCCAUAGGUUGGGGACAACUCCGGGAAACCGGAGCUAAUACCGAAUAAAAUUUGUUGAACGCAUGUUUAACAAAUCAAAGAAGGCCUCUCGAAGAAGCUUUUGCCAAUGGAUGGAUCCGCGUCUGAUUAGCUAGUUGGUAAGGUAGUGGCUUACCAAGGCGACGAUCAGUAGCCGGCCUGAGAGGGUGAACGGCCACACUGGGACUGAGACACGGCCCAGACUCCUACGGGAGGCAGCAGUGGGGAAUCUUCCGCAAUGGGCGCAAGCCUGACGGAGCAAUGCCGCGUGAAUGAAGAAGGCCUUCGGGUUGUAAAGUUCUGUUGAGAAGGAAGAAGGGUAUUAGAGCUAAUACCUCUAGUAUUUGACGGUACUUUUUGAGGAAGCCCCGGCUAACUACGUGCCAGCAGCCGCGGUAA